rnacentral:rRNA from 1 species
GGGGGGGAGCGAGCGUUGUUCGGAAUUACUGGGCGUAAAGGGCGCGUAGGCGGCUGGGGGGGUCAGUCGCGUGUGAAAGGGCCGGGGGCUCAACCCCCGAGCAUUGCACGUGAUACUGCCUGGCUCGAGAGAGGUAGGGGCGAGUGGAAUUCCCGGUGUAGCGAUGGAAUGCGUAGAUAUCGGGAAGAACACCUGUGGCGAAGGCGGCUCGCUGGACCUUUUCUGACGCUGAAGCGCGAAAGCGUGGGGAGCAAACAGGAUUAGAUACCCUGGUAGUCCACGCCGUAAACGAUGGGUACUAGGUGUUGGGAGGAUUGACCCUUUCAGUGCCGGCGCUAACGCAUUAAGUACCCCGCCUGGGGAGUACGGUCGCAAAGGCUG